AGGACGAACGCUGGCGGCGUGCCUAACACAUGCAAGUCGAGCGGGGAUAGGGCUCGGUCCUAUUCUAGCGGCGGACGGGUGAGUAACGCGUGAACAAUCUGUCCUAUACAGGGGGAUAACACUUGGAAACAGGUGCUAAUACCGCAUAAGCCCACGGCCCGGCAUCGGGCAGGGGGAAAAGGGGCAACUCGGUAUAGGGUGAGUUCGCGUCCCAUUAGCUAGUUGGCGGGUAAAAGCCCACCAAGGCGACGAUGGGUAGCCGACCUGAGAGGGUGAUCGGCCACACUGGAACUGAGAAACGGUCCAGACUCCUACGGGAGGCAGCAGUGGGGAAUAUUGGGCAAUGGGGGAAAAACCCCUGACCCAGCAACGCCGCGUGAGGGAAGAAGGCUUUCGGGUCGUAAACCUCUGUCCCAUGGGAAGAGAUAGAGACGGUACCAUGGGAGGAAGCCCCGGCUAACUACGUGCCAGCCGCCGC
rnacentral:rRNA from 1 species